CGGCGAGCUGCAAACUCGGCAAUAAUCAAACAGCUGACGGCGGGCCGGCCGAGCUGCCUGCUGCUGUCUUUUCACAGCGCCUGGAGGCUCAGGCCAAAAGGUGGCUGUCAUCCCCCCAGCUCUGCAUCAGCCCAGGAAGCAGCCAAGCAGCACCGUGAUGCCGGAGCCCCCAGAGCCUCCACACCCUUCAGUUACCCAAGGGCAACAUCAGUGUAAAUCUGACCUGCAGGGGAAAGCAGCCUCAUGCUCUUACUGCUGCCUCCAUCGUGCUGCUGCCACACAACCAGCAACAAACCAGAGAGCAAAACUCACACGAAUUAAAGCUGCUCGGUUAGUUUUGACCUGCGGCGGUUCCCAGGCGUGUUCACGGCUCAGUGAAUGCUGGAAGUGCUUUGGUCUACUGAUCCACUCCCUGCGGUUGCCUGAGGCUCAGAGCCAGCCUGGGGAAGCAUGAGGAGCCCACAGACUCGGGUGGGACCUUCCCAUCCCGUCCUGUACCACAGCAGUGUUCUCUCCUCCUGGUGCUCGUGACCCACCACAGGAUUGCCCAGCACCAUCCUCUGCUCAGCCCCACCUGUGAGACCUCAGUGCAGCAAUAUAGAACAGCCCUGACAGCAAGAGCAAACUACCAUGUUUAGCAUCUACACUGCACUUCAUCACUGAAGAAAAAGGGGAUCAGAGACCAGGCUGUGAGCUGAAGUCCCUCUGGGUACAGACCCGAGGCUGGUGUACCCCAGCACUGAAGCCACGUGGCAGCCAAGCAGGAUGCCUACCAACAGAGCGACAACACCAGCAGCACAGAUUUCUGUGUGCUUCUGGAAAAUAUCAGACAAAAACCUAGCAACAGUUGAGUUUUUCUCAUUUGUGAAGGCUCUUUGCACAGCAGAAGAUAUAACAGAUCUCUUCACACAAGCUGAACCAGCAAAGAAAUUUAAUGCGUGAGGCAAACACCAACCCUGGCACAGCCAGGAAAUGUCUUUUCUAGGCCCAGGCCCGCUGAAAAGUUGGCUUCAUUUAUUUAGUAGGGGAUACUGAAAACACAAACCUUUAUGGAUAUAAGAGCUGCAAGCACUGUGUGCUCUGCAGCUGCUUCCUCUGACUGAGAUCAUACUUUUGAAGGGACUCAGAAAGUCCAUCAGGCACAGCUGCAUCUCUCUCCUGUCUGCAAUCCAACAUCACAUACAUAAUAAAGUUGCAAAGAAGAGACCCGGAAGAGUUGACUGCGUUAAUAUAGCAAAAGAGCACAGAGAGAUCGUGACAACCUCUCCAAAGAGCGCAGAAACAGCAAGCUCUGCACCAAGAUGCCCCACCAAGCAGCCCACCACAAACUACAGACACCGCUAUCACACUGCUCCAGCCCCUGGCUGCUCAGCCCAGCCCCGCCCAGGGCAGAAACGUUCCAAGAAGCGCAGGUAGGCCUCCUUUUGUGCCGCAGCCACGGGGACGAAGUGCCCGCCGGGGUGCGUGACGACGACGGGCUCCACGAAGCACCGCGCCAGCUCAGCGCUGAGGUGCGCGGCGAUGACAGCGUCGGCGUCGCCCACGACGUGCAGCGAAGGCAGGGCGAUGGGCUCCCGGUAGAAGUGCUCGUGGGCCGGGGCGCGGCUGGCGAAGGCGGC